GGACAACUUGGAGCAUCCAGAUCAGGUUCCUCUGGUGGUACUCCCGCGGCGUGAUCACACCAGUUCUGAGCCUGGUGACUCCAAUGCUGGCUAUGGAUGCGGACAGCAUGUUGGCGGCGCUAGCACGGGCAGGCCGCAGGGCGACGGUAGACGGCGGCGGCAGGCUUCGACGACACCCAUGACAGGUUGCCGAGGAGGGAUGAUGUUGGUAGCAUGUUAGCCAUUGGAGUUUUAGCUGAGUGGCAUCCUUGAGAAAGAUCUUGCUCGCCUGCUACCGAUUCCAAAUAUUCAGAGGAUGCUGGUGAGUAAGUGGUUCAGCUGGUCACAGGGAAUGGAAGCUACCCGGGAGGCACAACAGAGACAGAAAGACUGGAUGAUCUGUACUCUAGGGACACUGAGAUUGUGGCUGAUUCAGAUGUGCUGCAGCAUUCAGAAACUGUGCUGGAAGAGGGGGCGAGGAAGGAGUUCGCCCUAGAAAGUACAACGGUGGCUGCUGGAAGGAAAGGGCAAUCCGUUAAAAGAUAACAGGCGAUCAUCAUGUUGCGGCUGCACGGCGAUGAUAAGGCUGCUCCAGUCAGAUGACAAUGGGUGUUAUGUGGCCGAGCACACGACAGAUCACAAUCACCGAUUGACAAUUAUUUGAAUGGGCUUGGAAGCAAACUUGCGUGGAGCCUGGCUCUACUUAACUUGUUGUACACGAGACGGCAUAUGUGGUCGACCAUAAAAUUGCUCCCGGUGUACCUUGGGCUCCUAGUUUUUGUGUGCCAAAAAAAGUAAGCAAGCAGGUGACUCCUUAGGGUGAAGCGAUUGAGAGCUUUGGUGUGUGACCCUGGCAUCACUGUCAAGCUUGCGCGGUUCGGAUGUAAGUCUAUUCUUCUG